GAUGAAGAACGCAGCGAAACGCGAUAAGUAGUGUGAAUUGCAGAAUUCAGUGAAUCAUCGAAUCUUUGAACGCACAUUGCGCCCCAUGGUAUUCCGUGGGGCAUGCCUGUUCGAGCGUCAUUUACCCCCUCAAGCUCCGCUUGGUGUUGGGCGUCUGUCCCGCUUCGCGCGCGGACUCGCCCCAAAGGUAUUGGCAGCGGUCGUGCCAGCUUCUCGCGCAGCACAUUGCGCUUCUCGAGGCACCGGUGGGCCCGCGUCCAUCAAGCUCACCCCCCCAGUUUGACCUCGGAUCAGGUAGGGAUACCCGCUGAACUUAAGCAUAUCAAUAAGCGGAGGA
rnacentral:misc_RNA from 1 species